rnacentral:SRP_RNA from 1 species
GCUGGGCAUGGUGGUGCAUGCCUGUAGUACCAGCUACUCAGGAGGCUGAGGCAUGAGAAUCACUUGAACCCAGGAGGCAGAGGCUGCAGUGAGCUGAGAUCACGCCACUGCACUCUGGCCUGGGUGACAGAGUGAGACCCUGUCUCAA